UAAUCUAUUGCAGAACUUGUUCGGAGUCGGCCAUGUUGACUUCUUAUGGCUCGGAGUAAAUAAAAUUCACCUGUUAUAUUGGGAUGCUUUAUGAGGUGUAAAUAGACUUUGCUGGAUAAUCAAGAUUUCACUGAUUACCUAGCCAGAGACUGUGUGUAAAUAUUCUUUCACUUGUUUAUUUAUUCC